GAACAAUUCAAUUAGACUAUUCAUUUUCUGAGCCUGAGCGCUUCAUUCUGAAUAUAUUGUUCUAAUCCCACUGUUUGGCAGUAGAAAGUUGUACAGAGCAUAUCCUACGAGAAACCCGAGAAGCUGUAAGUGCCUAGUGUUACAAACAUUUUAAAAGCAUGUUUUAAUUCAUAUUUCCUGCAAGCAUCAUUUGAACAAAACUUGAAACAUUCCAUCCUGCUGUUUCUUGAGAUGUCCUACAUCUAUCUAAGAUGUUUGAAAAUAAUUCUCACACUCAAAAAAAAAAAAAAAAAAAUCCUGAAAGACUACAUGUACGUGAUAAAUAUAUACAUAUAUAUAUAUGCACACACAUAUUUGUUACAUUUUAACAGCAGUGUUUCAAGAAAACAAGAUGUCUGCAAAUCUUGGUGAUUGAUCAUUGUGAUAUUAUUUUCUUAGGAAAAUUCUAUUCCAUUUACAUAAAUACCCAGAGACUGGUAGCUGUCCCAUAUGGAUAUUCCCGGAAUUAAAAACGUGGAAGAAUUGUACGAUUGACUAACAGGGUUCUAAACAAAAAUAAUUUCUUCUUCUUUGUUUGCAAAUGGAAAGAACUCCUAGGAGCAAAUUUCCUUUUGUCCCACGGGGAGAACUAUUGCUGGAAUGGAGGACAGCCAUUCUGAGAGCCAGAUUCCAUAUAGAUCUGUUAUUCUGUAUGAUGUUCAUCUUGGCUGUUUCUGACCCCUUCCUAUGCAUAGCUCUGUAAAAUACAAUGUCCCUUAGACUGAGGUUCUUACUACAGAUCGAGUUCACCUUUCUAUGUCACUUUUUGUAACCCUCUUUUUAAAUAUACCCCAGGCUACAAUAUCAGCUAGGAUAAAAUUGCUGUGAAAUUCUUUUUUGUUUCUCAAACUUUUAUGAAAAAAUCAAAACAUUCUCAUGUCUAUUUCAGCCUUAGUUCCCAGAAGUGUCCUGAUAAGAUUCUUAAGGAUACACAUUAACCUAUAUGAAAGAAUCAUAGAGACUAAGCUUGGAAAAGACCUCUGAGAUCAUCGAGUCCAACCAUCAACUCAUCACUACCAUAACCACUAAAAUGUGUCCCUAAGUGCCACAAGUUUCUCAUGCUUUAACCUCAGUGAGAUAAAUACAAUUUAGGGACAUUUUCUAGAAAAUGAUUUGGGAAGGUAUUUUACAACAUGCUUAUGUCCAUGCCUGUUCUAAAGAAAAGCUGAUAAAUCUACAUAAUGCUACUGAUAUCAAAAUGUGCAUCUUUUACGUCCAGAAACAGUUCUGUUAUUAUCUGAAUUAUUUUACUAGCUCAUCAGUUGAGGAGCUUAAUCCUGUUCACAUUUAUACUGUGUGGUUGUAUUGUAAUUUCUUAGGCAAGAAGCUGCAAAUGGCUCAUGGAAUAAAUGAGAAUUGGGUCCUCUGAAUUUAACAGUGACAUAGCUAAAGUAAAAGAUACAUGAG
ensembl:lncRNA